GACGAACGCUGGCGGCGUGCUUAACACAUGCAAGUCGAACGCUAAAGCUUGGUGCUUUCACUGGGUGGAGGAGUGGCGAACGGGUGAGUAAUACGUGAGUAACCUGCCCUUGACUCUGGGAUAAUCCUGGGAAACUGGGUCUAAUACUGGAUAUGACAUGCCACUGCAUGGUGCUGUGUGUAAAGGGUUUUACUGGUUUUGGAUGGGCUGACGGCCUAUCGGCUUGUUGGUGGGGUAAUGGCCUACCAAGGCGACGACGGGUAGCCGGCCUGGGAGGGUGGCCGGCGACCAUGGGACUGAGACACGGCGCAGCCUGCAAUGGGAGGCAGAAGUGGGGAAUAUUAUACAGUGAGCGGAAGCGUGAUGCGGCGACGCCGGGUGGGGGAUGACGGCUUGCGGGUAGUAAACCUCUUUCAGCACGGACGAAGCGAGAGUGACGGUACGUGAAGAAGAAGCGCCGGCUAACUACGUG
rnacentral:rRNA from 1 species